UACGUAGGGUGCGAGCGUUGUCCGGAAUUACUGGGCGUAAAGAGCUCGUAGGUGGUUUGUCGCGUUGUUCGUGAAAACCGGGGGCUUAACCCUCGGCGUGCGGGCGAUACGGGGCAGACUGGAGUACUGCAGGGGGAGACUGGAAUUCCUGGUGUAGCGGUGGAAUGCGCAGAUAUCAGGAGGAACACCGGUGGCGAAGGCGGGUCUCUGGGCAGUAACUGACGCUGAGGAGCGAAAGCGUGGGGAGCGAACAGG
rnacentral:rRNA from 1 species